AUCAACUUUCGAUGGUAGGAUAGAGGCCUACCAUGGUGGUAACGGGUAACGGGGUGUUAGGGCACGACACCGGAGAGGGAGCCUGAGAAACGGCUACCACAUCCAAGGAUGGCAGCAGGCGCGCAAAUUACCCAAUCCCGACACGGGGAGGUAGUGACAAUAAAUAACAAUACGGGGUUCUUUAGGAUUUCGUAAUUGGAAUGAGUACAAUUUAAAUCUCUUAACGAGGAACAAUUGGAGGGCAAGUCUGGUGCCAGCAGCCGCGGUAAUUCCAGCUCCAAUAGCGUAUAUUAAAGUUGUUGCAGUUAAAAAGCUCGUAGUUGAAUUUCGGGGUCAGUAGGUUGGUCAUGCCACUGGUAUGUACUGGUCUCACUGAUUCCUCCUUCCUGAUGAGCCGUAAUGCCAUUAAUUUGGUGUUGCGAGGAAUCUGGACUGUUACUUUGAAAAAAUUAGAGUGUUUAAAGCAGGCUAACGCUUGAAUACAUUAGCAUGGAAUAAUGAAAUAGGACGUUCGAUCUUAUUUUGUUGGUUUCUAAGAUUGACGUAAUGAUUAAUAGGGAUAGUUGGGGGCAUUAGUAUUCAAUUGUCAGAGGUGAAAUUCUUGGAUUUAUUGAAGACUAACUACUGCGAAAGCAUUUGCCNAGGAUGUUUUCCUUUAAUCANGAACGAAAGUUAGGGGGAUCGAAGACGAUCAGAUACCCGUCGUAGUCUUAACCAUA
rnacentral:rRNA from 1 species